GAUGAACGCUGGCGGCGUGCCUAAUACAUGCAAGUCGAGCGAACAGACGAGGAGCUUGCUCCUCUGACGUUAGCGGCGGACGGGUGAGUAACACGUGGAUAACCUACCUAUAAGACUGGGAUAACUUCGGGAAACCGGAGCUAAUACCGGAUAAUAUAUUGAACCGCAUGGUUCAAUAGUGAAAGACGGUUUUGCUGUCACUUAUAGAUGGAUCCGCGCCGCAUUAGCUAGUUGGUAAGGUAACGGCUUACCAAGGCAACGAUGCGUAGCCGACCUGAGAGGGUGAUCGGCCACACUGGAGCUGAGACACGGUCCAGACUCCUACGGGAGGCAGCAGUAGGGAAUCUUCCGCAAUGGGCGAAAGCCUGACGGAGCAACGCCGCGUGAGUGAUGAAGGUCUUCGGAUCGUAAAACUCUGUUAUUAGGGAAGAACAAAUGUGUAAGUAACGAUGCACGUCUUGACGGUACCUAAUCAGAAAGCCACGGCUAACUACGU
rnacentral:rRNA from 1 species